rnacentral:rRNA from 1 species
UACGGGGGGGGCAAGCGUUGGUUCGGAAUUACUGGGCGUAAAGGGCUCGUAGGUGGCCAACUAAGUCAGACGUGAAAUCCCUCGGCUUAACCGGGGAACUGCGUCUGAUACUGGAUGGCUUGAGUUUGGGAGAGGGAUGCGGAAUUCCAGGUGUAGCGGUGAAAUGCGUAGAUAUCUGGAGGAACACCGAUGGCGAAGGCAGGUCUCUGGGCAUUAACUGGACGCUGAGGAGCGAAAGCAUGGGGAGCGAAACAGGG